rnacentral:rRNA from 1 species
UACGUAGGUGGCAAGCGUUGUCCGGAUUUAUUGGGUUUAAAGGGUGCGUAGGCGGUCUUAUAAGUCAGUGCUGAAAUAUCCCGGCUUAACCGGGAGGGUGGCAUUGAUACUGUAGGACUUGAGUAGAGUUGAGGUUGGCGGAAUUGACGGGUGUAGCGGUGAAAUGCUUAGAUAUCGAGAGGAACACCUGCGGCGAAGGCGGGUUGCUGGGCUGAUACUGACGCUGAGGCGCGAAAGCCAGGGGGAGCGAACGGGG